GAGGGCGGGGCUGGCGGGAGGGCGGGGCCUGGCAACCCUGUCUGGAGUCUCUCCUGGGCUAGGCUGUGGUCACACGCCUACGGACAGAGGGCGGAGUGAACGCGGCACUACGCGCAGAGAAGGUCACGGUGGCACGGUGUUGUGCAGGUUGGAUUAGGACGUGCCAGGGCGGCCAAUGAGCUCGGGGACAGUGGCUCGCGGACCCUCCCCGGGCGGCGCUCCUCUGCGCUGAGGCACCGCCCUCGUGGGCAGGGUACCCCCGUGGGACCGCCGACUCUAGGCCGCGCUACUGCACAAGCAGUGGGUUUUCCCGAUUAAAAAGAGGGGCGGUUUAGAAGGUUCCAGAGGAAUGAGGCGGGUGGACGCAAUUGAGCUACGUUCUACAAAAGGCUCUAGGACUGGUGAUCGCAUUGGCGAAAGCAGGGCGUACACCUAUUCCCUCACCUGGAUCAGGUGCGCGCCUGUUGGGCGGGUCCUGUCGGAGAGGCUGGCCAAAGAGAACGCCUUCCUCUUCCUGGGCUGGUGUGAGGAGCUCCGGCACCGAGCGGAGCGGCGGGCAGCAUGAAUAACCCUAUACCUUCCAAUCUGAAAUCGGAAGCGAAGAAGGCUGCCAAAAUAUUAAGAGAAUUCACAGAAAUAACUUCCAGAAAUGGACCUGAUAAGAUCAUUCCUGCCCAUGUGAUUGCAAAAGCAAAAGGACUUGCAGUUUUAUCUGUGAUUAAAGCUGGAUUUCUGGUGACAGCCAGAGGAGGCAGUGGGAUUGUCCUGGCACGUCUUCCAGAUGGAAAAUGGUCUGCACCUUCAGCCAUUGGGAUAGCUGGGCUUGGUGGAGGAUUUGAAAUAGGAAUAGAGGUAUCAGAUUUGGUAAUAAUUCUGAAUUAUGACAGAGCAGUAGAAGCCUUUGCAAAGGGUGGAAACCUGACACUUGGAGGGAAUUUUACUGUAGCAGUUGGGCCCCUAGGCAGGAACCUGGAAGGAAACGUGUCCCUGAGGAGCUCUGCAGCUGUCUUCACUUACUGCAAAUCCAGGGGCCUCUUUGCUGGCAUUUCCCUGGAAGGUAGCUGUUUGAUUGAAAGGAAAGAAACUAAUCGGAAAUUUUACUGUCAGGACAUUCGAGCUUAUGACAUUUUAUUUGGAGAUGUUCCACGGCCUGCCCAAGCAGAAGAUCUUUAUGAAAUUCUUGAUUCCUUUACUGAAAAGUAUGAAAAUGAAGGACAGCGCAUCAAUUUGAGGAAAGUAGCACGGGAGCAGAGGAAGGCUAAAGAAUUACCUCCAAAACCAUCAUCAAGACCACAGCAAUCCCGAGCACCUGGCCAGCUGAAUGCUGGCUCCCAGAGUAAUGGAAAUGAAUAUAAGUUAUAUCCUGAGCUUUCUAGCUAUCAUGAGAAAACUGGGUCCCAGUAAAGCAGGAGGAAAGCAAUGAAAAGCCAACAUAGCCUGGAAAAGAGAAAUGUGUUUUAACCCAGGUGAAAAUAUCAUCAUUUGAAGUACCGAACUGAGCACACAGAGUUCUUGUUAAAGAUAGAUCACACCACCAUGUUGUUCUGACUGGCUUCUUUUAAGACUAGGAAAAGUCUAUGUGGACCAAGAAUUUUGCUUUAGUGCCCAUCUGUGGCUGUGAAAUAGUAUUUCAUCUGAAGUAAAUGGGAUACUUGCAGACUGCAGAGCCAGAAAAAGAUGCUGGACUCCUUCCAACACCUGCCUACUUAGGUCAGGACCUAAUUGGACUCACAAGAUGGUGACUCUGUGCCCAGAAGUCCUUCUCCCCUUUGUUCUUGUUUUCUGAUGAAUUUCAGAAUUGUCUUAGAGUAAUAAAAGGAAAAAAAACAAACAAAACAAAAACAGAAGCUAGUGAGAGUUCAAAGAAAGGCGAUUGGAAUUAUUCAAGUCGAUGAAUAAGUAGCAAAAGAAAACAUUGAAGGAAGUAACUAAAAGGAAAGUGGUCUCAUAAUAUAGUUAGCUUUUAUAAAGGGGGUUAUUGACACAUUCUCCUAUACUUUUAAUAAAAUCAAUAGGAGUAAAUUAGGUUUAAAUCAAAACAGAAAUACGUUGAUGUACUGCAGUUACUGGGAAACUGCAGCUUCCAAAGUUCAGUAAAAUCUCCAUAAAAAGUAUGAACUUGACUUUGAUUUAUGGCCCAGGGUAACCUUUAACUUUGUUUUUAGUGGAUUGUUGAAAUUAGUUUAUUAAUUAGGGGUUUCCAUAGGCUUUUUCACCAACAGUGUUUGUUAAUGCACCCAAUAACUUUUCCUCUCCCCAUCAUUCCAUGCUUCAUCCUUGUUUAAUAAUCCUUGUUCAAUCCUUCUUAUUUUCAUCUCACAUAUAUUCUACUAUCUAACCUAUUAUAAUUUAUGAGAUAGUAUGCUUAUUUAUGCCUUUUUAUACAUCCUUCUUUUGAGUUAUCCAUCCAUCUCACCCUAUAAUUUGCCCCAUACUCCUGUACCUUUUCUUGCUUAUGUCUUUUUGCCACCAGUAUUUCACCUCUCUGUUUUCAUUUUACCUAUAAUUUAUCAUGGUCCUGCCUUAGUAUGUCCACCUCAAAGGCCCCUUUCUAUUUUCCUGGCUUCCACUUGUGCUUCAAGUUAAACACUCAAAGAAAUUGAAGUUAGCACCUAUACGUGAGCAGUAGGAUACUAUUUGCCUUGCUGGGCAUGAGUUACCUCAUUCAUUUUAAGUUUUUUCCAAUUACAUCUAUUUACCUGAAAUUUUCUUGGUUUCGUCAAAGGCAUUUUCUGUAUCUAUUAAGAUGAGCACGUAAUUUUCAUAUUUUAGUCUAUUAAUGCAAUAAAUUACAUUUAUUUACUUAUAUAUAAUAAAAGAUCCUUGUAUCAAUGGGAUAAAAUCAACUUGGUAAUGUUGAAUGAUAGUUCUGAUGUGAUAUUGAAUUGGGUUUGCAAGUAUUUUGUUGAGAAUUUUUGACUAUGUUCAUCAGGGAGUUUGGUCUGUAAUUUUCUUUUUAACAAUUUAUCUAGUUUUUGUA